AGUAAAAAGAAAAAGCUUUUUCGCAGGCCAAAUGGAUUCAAACUUGGUCCACUCAGAUGAUCACGACAACUUAAGAAUCCGGGAGUGUCCGAUGUUGCACGAGCUCUGACUAGCUCACUUUGGUUACGCUGGAGAUCUCAUAAUCGACGAGCAAGAGCGUCAAACCUCUACUGGCAUUCGUUUAUCUCCUGAUGCUCCUAUAUCCGAGGAACGCACCCUUAAGCUCGUUCCUGAUAUCUCCUUCAUUGAACCUAGCGAACGGAAUGUCACAGGGUUUCUAUUUCGUUUCAACAAACGGCGCCAAAUUUUUUACCAAAUCAACUUGUUUGUUCACAGGGAUUACAAUUGCAAAGGAAAAUGCUGUUUCGAAUUUUGCUUUUGCUUUGACAAUUAGAUCUUAUUGAGAAAAUCAUCAACUUAGGAUUUUACUACGGAAAGCUUGAUCGAUCUGCACCAAAGUCUAGGAAUUUAAGUUGGAUAAGUUCUGCUAAUGUAUGUACCGAAGGUCAAACGGUUGCUGAAUUGUCAAUUCCUAGUGUGUACCGCAGGGCAUCUGCUAAUGGCAUUGUUGAGAUACUUUCGGUGUACAGGAAAGCUGUUCUUCACAUUGAGCGAGCAUUGUUGUCCGACACUAUGCCUAUUUUGGAAACUGUAACUCAAGUUCCGGAAACCAAUUCUCUGGUUAACCUUUCAGGCAGGAAGAUAGAGAUGUGGAGCCUGGUUCAUCUCACUCAGAUAUUUCUGAAAAUUUGGUGUGCUUGUCUACUGCAGAUACAUCUUUUAACAGAUUGGCACCUGGGAUAUCAUAUUUUUCUGGCAUCUUUCUUAACUGCUUGAAAUGCUGCCUAAACAUAUCCAUAUGCGUGUUGCAGAAUCAAUUCUUUUUGCUGGUAAAGCAGUCAGGGUUCUCCGGAAUCCAAGUGCUGGCUUUCAGUUUCAGGAUCAGCAGAUAACAAAAGGCUCUUAGAAAGUUCAUAGAUUUACAGGAUGCUUGCCUAUUCAGAUGAAGCCUUUCUCAGAUAUGAAACUGAUUGGAGAAAUUGCUUCCACAUUUUGUAGAUAACAUCUUGUAUUAUUCCCUGUCCUAUAUAUUCCAUGAACUUGGCAAACCUAUUUUUUCUUUCAUAUGGGAAACUGUUUUCCCUUUACAAUAAGGGAUGAGCCUUACAGCUAAACCAUGACCCAUUCUGUGUAGGAAUCGUCUGAGUUUCACAAAAGAUCAUUUGAAUGUGCGAAUUUCAUAAUGCAAUGAUUGCAUGAUUAUGUAAAUCCAUCUGCAGAAGCUUGUUCUACAAUCUUGAGGAGUCUGUUUGAAUACCAUGUUCUACUUGGCUAGAGUAUGGCCAAAUCAUGUCAAGUGAUUGAUGUGAAAGAAUCUCAAUGGAAUGUUCUGCAAGCUCAUAUUUAAGAUUCUCAUGAUUUUAUUGAACUUGUAGGGUUCCAUCAAGAGUAAGUAAACAUAGUUUAUGUUUGGCAGCCUUAACAUUGUGCUGAUAAAUUUGGCGAUCUCAAUAUUGUUCUUACAAGUUUGAAAAUUAACGGGUAUUUAUCAGCAUUAAUUUCCCAUUCUUUCUUGGACAUUGGCUCAGUGUCAAGGGUACUGGAUGCAAUAAUGAAACUUCAGCUUCAGUUCUGCUGGAACAUUGAUAAUCAAGAAAGCAGUGCUAGUACAUCUGAACUAGAACAUAUUGCUGAGAUACUGAUACUUGUCAAUCCCUCUUAUACUUCGCCUUGUACAUGCUAGCGUUUCUAUUAUGAAGUUGCAUAAGUGUUUGAAUUUGGUUAACUUUUAUCCUUCAAGUUCUAGUAUAUCUGAGCUAUGUAGUACUUUUCAAAUGCUUACAAAAAAUUAUCUAAUUAUGGCCACGGUUGUAAAACCAUGUUGAAUGCAUUUAUCUGGACUGUGUGCUACUAAAAAUGUUUUCAAAAAAUGAUCUGAAUCUUGACAGUUGGAAAACCAUGCUGAACGUAAAGUGAUUGAAUUCUGGCUUAAUUUCUUGUUGAGAAGUUUCUUCUAUUUUGAUGCAGCAUAGCAGACAUUUCAUCUGCUGAUUUCUUUUCUGAAAAAUGGUCAUUGAACCUGUUGAUUUGUCUUCUUUCUGAAUUAUCCUAGUUUCUUCCAUUAGCAUCUCUGUGUGUUCCAUUUGGAAACCUCCUCUAGCCGCAACUGGUUAAGCAGCCAACAUGAUUGAACGGCCAAUUGUCAGUAAUUAUAGGAGUAUCAUGUGGCAUUUCUGAAUAUCAUUCACUUGUUUUAAUCUAAAAGACAAAUUAAUAAAAAGUUUUGUUUUGUUUCCUUGUCAAUGGAAAGUUGGCAGAUCUAAGCAUAUAUCACGUGGUGGUAUCAGAUUGCUUAGGUGUAAGACCUUAAAGAUCUAAUAGUACCAGCAUUUGUGGUUGAUCAUUAUGAUAAAUUAUGAGAAUCUACCUUUUAUGUUGGGCAUAUAAAUUAAGAAGGGCACUUUAGCCCCUUCACAUGGUCUAAGAAAAGUUUAGAGGUCAUCAUCUUAUAGAGUGCCUUAUUAUAUGGAAAGAGUGUCACUGCAAUUAUCUCAUGAUAACUCUUUUCUGUUGAUGCUCCUAAGAUUUUUUCCAUUAAGUGUGAAUGACAUUCUAAUAAUCAUUUUCAUACAAAUUGUGGCCUCAGUGAUCUCUGGAUAUUUUGAUCAUUGAUCAUUGAAUUAGAUGCUAUUUUGCAUGACUUUCACACUUCAUAAUUCCUUUUUGCCAUCAAACAAUAUUAAAGUCAUCAUGAUACUGCGAGAAUUUAUGGUCCUUGAUUGACUACUUUCAGGAAUUUAACAAGAUAUCAAACUCUUUAUAUACUACAUUAUGGAGUAGCAGGCUUGCUGGGAGUCAAAGAGCCUCAUUCUUGAGGCGUUUUCUUUUGCUCCUAAAGUUCAAUUCCUUCUUUGAGGCAACUGCCAGAGGAGUGCUGAAUACUGUUAGACCACGCCCAGCAGGUUCCUUUUUUAAAUCAACAAUACGUUAACUCAUUUUACUAUAUGAAUGCAAAGUUUUUUGUGUGAUUAAUGUUUGUUUGUUGGAGGAAGAGGGAAAUUUAGAGAUGUAUGUUUAUGGUAAUUAGGAGAUAUAUUCUCAAGUAGCCAUCUGUUUGGAUAGUUAGGUGGUAAUCACCACUUGAAUGAAUUAGGUGAUUGUUUUGUUAGAUGGUUUUAAGUUGUGGCUUCCUUGAAAGUUAGAUGGUCAUUUCGGUAGAUAGGUUUGACAGUGCAGUCGGCUUUCAUCCUGUUGACUCAGCGAUGAAUCAUCCCUGGAGGUUAGCUAGCUUUUUUCUUUUAAUCUGUAGCUUCAGCUUGUUGGUCUGCUUUUGAAUCUUUGGUUGCUGCCCGAUUCUCGAUUCAUCUUGGGAAUAAAUUAUUUUUUCGUAAAAAUGUGAUGAUUAACA